GGGAGGGUCGUUUUUGUUACGAACUUCGAGCCGUUUCAUGACAUGUGGAGGCUCGUCCGGGAUCUUGAAGGUAUUGUGUUUGGGAGGAAACGUGGAGUUAAUGUUAAACUCUGUUGGUGCUUUGUUUGCAACUUUUGUUACAGCUUUUUUGAGUUGUAAUGUUUUGGUGCCCAGUGUUGGCUGCCUUUAUUUGUUUGGAAAACUUGCCACUGCAGUGGAUAGUUGGUUGUGUGCUGCGUUGGAGAGAGUACAUUGGUUAGUUUCCAGGCCCCUGCCCAGGUUGAAGACUCUUGCUCUGCUUGCUGUUGGGACAUCGGUCCGAGGAGGUUACUUCCUGUGCGCUAAGGUUGCUAAGGUCUGGGGAGGACGAGGUUGGCUGGGGCAAGUGGAAGUGUGAACACGUAGCCCCUUAUGAAUUUGGAUGUCGGUGGGUGGAGCUGGGAGGGUCGUCAGCGACAUGGGACACCUGUGUGUCCCGGGAUAAAUAUACAUCUUUCCCCAUUCAUUGAAGAGACUCUCUCCAUGCAGACACACUUAUAGAUUUUGGUUGUGGCAUUUUUGUGGCCGUUUGUUUGCUUUGGCACCUUUCUACACCCCUCAUUAUCACAUUUAUGCACGCAACCACUCACUUACACUACUGAUUACUGACUACACACACCAUUGUUAAUUGUAUUUACUUCAGUUAAUAAAUAUAUUUUGUUAUUCCUUAUCUCCACGUUGUCUCCUUUUUGUUAUGAACUUCGAGCCGGUUCAUGACAACAGCAUAUGACAGACAGUUUGUGGUCGGAGCACGUCUCUGGAGCCGCUGACCCCAAUAUGGUGUAAUUGCAGAUGCAAUUCAGGGCUUUUCUUGAUGUGGUCGUUCCUUGAUAUCAGGUAAUGCCCAUUGGUGUUACCUACCCCGCCCCCUCUUGUUUUUACACUGCUGCUACUCGCUGUUUAUUAUCUAUGCACAGUCACUUUACCCCUUCCUACAUGU